rnacentral:rRNA from 1 species
AACACGUGAGUAACCUGCCCUUGACUCUGGGAUAAGCCUGGGAAACUGGGUCUAAUACCGGAUAUGACCAUCUGGCGCAUGUCAUGGUGGUGGAAAGCUUUUGUGGUUUUGGAUGGACUCGCGGCCUAUCAGCUUGUUGGUGGGGUAAUGGCCUACCAAGGCGACGACGGGUAGCCGGCCUGAGAGGGUGACCGGCCACACUGGGACUGAGACACGGCCCAGACUCCUACGGGAGGCAGCAGUGGGGAAUAUUGCACAAUGGGCGAAAGCCUGAUGCAGCGACGCCGCGUGAGGGAUGACGGCCUUCGGGUUGUAAACCUCUUUCAGUAGGGAAGAAGCGAAAGUGACGGUACCUGCAGAAGAAGCGCCGGCUAACUACGUGCCAGCAGCCGCGGUAAUACGUAGGGCGCAAGCGUUAUCCGGAAUUAUUGGGCGUAAAGAGCUCGUAGGCGGUUUGUCGCGUCUGCUGUGAAAGACCGGGGCUCAACUCCGGUUCUGCAGUGGGUACGGGCAGACUAGAGUGCAGUAGGGGAGACUGGAAUUCCUGGUGUAGCGGUGAAAUGCGCAGAUAUCAGGAGGAACACCGAUGGCGAAGGCAGGUCUCUGGGCUGUAACUGACGCUGAGGAGCGAAAGCAUGGGGAGCGAACAGGAUUAGAUACCCUGGUAGUCCAUGCCGUAAACGUUGGGCACUAGGUGUGGGGGACAUUCCACGUUUUCCGCGCCGUAGCUAACGCAUUAAGUGCCCCGCCUGGGGAGUACGGCCGCAAGGCUAAAACUCAAAGGAAUUGACGGGGGCCCGCACAAGCGGCGGAGCAUGCGGAUUAAUUCGAUGCAACGCGAAGAACCUUACCAAGGCUUGACAUGAACCGGAAAGACCUGGAAACAGGUGCCCCGCUUGCGGUCGGUUUACAGGUGGUGCAUGGUUGUCGUCAGCUCGUGUCGUGAGAUGUUGGGUUAAGUCCCGCAACGAGCGCAACCCUCGUUCUAUGUUGCCAGCGCGUUAUGGCGGGGACUCAUAGGAGACUGCCGGGGUCAACUCGGAGGAAGGUGGGGACGACGUCAAAUCAUCAUGCCCCUUAUGUCUUGGGCUUCACGCAUGCUACAAUGGCCGGUACAAAGGGUUGCGAUACUGUGAGGUGGAGCUAAUCCCAAAAAGCCGGUCUCAGUUCGGAUUGGGGUCUGCAACUCGACCCCAUGAAGUCGGAGUCGCUAGUAAUCGCAGAUCAGCAACGCUGCGGUGAAUACGUUCCCGGGCCUUGUACACACCGCCCGUCAAGUCAC